rnacentral:rRNA from 1 species
ACGGCCAUAGAUCAAAGAAAACAUCGGAUCCCGUCCGCUCUCCUGCAAUCAAGCUUUGAAUCGGUAGAUUAGUAGUUAGGUGGGUGACCACUAGCGAAUACCUACUGCUGUACGUU